UGCCAUGUGCGUGUUACUUUGUUAGAGGA
rnacentral:piRNA from 1 species